rnacentral:rRNA from 1 species
UACGAAGGGGGCUAGCGUUGGCUCGGAAUCACUGGGCGUAAAGCGCACGUAGGCGGAUUGCUAAGUCAGGGGUGAAAUCCUGGAGCUCAACUCCAGAACUGCCUUUGAUACUGGCGAUCUCGAGUCCGGGAGAGGUGAGUGGAACUGCGAGUGUAGAGGUGAAAUUCGUAGAUAUUCGCAAGACACCAGUGGCGAAGGCGGCUCACUGGCCCGGUACUGGACGCUGAGGUGCGAAAGCGUGGGGA